AGAGUUUGAUCCUGGCUCAGGAUGAACGCUGGCGGCGUGCCUAAUACAUGCAAGUCGAACGCACCACUUCGGUGGUGAGUGGCGAACGGGUGAGUAACACGUAGAUAACCUGCCCUUAAGACGAGGAUAACCGUUGGAAACGAUGGCUAAAACUGGAUAGGAAUAUUGAAGGCAUCUUUAAUAUUUUAAAAGACCUAGUAAUAGGUAUACUUAAGGAGGGGUCUGCGGCGCAUUAGUUAGUUGGUGAGGUGAUGGCUUACCAAGACGAUGAUGCGUAGCCGGACUGAGAGGUUGAACGGCCACAUUGGGACUGAGAAACGGCCCAAACUCCUACGGGAGGCAGCAGUAGGGAAUUUUCGGCAAUGGGGGAAACCCUGACCGAGCAACGCCGCGUGAAUGACGAAGUACUUCGGUAUGUAAAGUUCUUUUAUCAAGGAAGAAUGACUUAUGGAAAAAUAAGUGUGACGGUACUUGAUGAAUAAGCCCCGGCUAACUAUGUGCCAGCAGCCGCGGUAAUACAUAGGGGGCAAGCGUUAUCCGGAAUUAUUGGGCGUAAAGGGUGCGUAGGUGGUUAGAUAAGUCUUAGGUGUAAGUGCAGAGCUUAACUCUGUGAUGCUAAAGAAACUGUCUGACUUGAGUGUGGUAGAGGCAAGUGGAAUUCCAUGUGUAGCGGUAAAAUGCGUAAAUAUAUGGAGGAACACCAGUGGCGAAGGCGGCUUGCUGGGCCAUAACUGACACUGAGGCACGAAAGCGUGGGGAGCAAACAGGAUUAGAUACCCUGGUAGUCCACGCCGUAAACGAUGAGUACUAAGUGUUGGAGAAAUUCAGUGCUGUAGUUAACGCAAUAAGUACUCCGCCUGAGUAGUACGUGCGCAAGCAUGAAACUCAAAGGAAUUGACGGGACCCCGCACAAGCGGUGGAGCAUGUUGUUUA
rnacentral:rRNA from 1 species